GACAGAGGGGGCAAGCGUUGCUCGGAAUCACUGGGCGUAAAGGGCGCGUAGGCGGGAUGGCAAGUCAGUCGUGAAAUCUCUCGGCUCAACCGAGAAACGUCGGCUGAUACUGCCGUUCUUUGAGGGAUGCAGAGGAGACUGGAAUUCCUGGUGUAGCGGUGAAAUGCGCAGAUAUCAGGAAGAACACCCGUGGCGAAGGCGGUUCUCUGGGACGGUACUGACGCUGAGACGCGAAAGCGUGGGGAGCAAACAGG
rnacentral:rRNA from 1 species